AUUUAUUUAAAAAAAAAUGGAAAACUGAUUUUAUCAGUUGGUUGUUUCGGAUUGAAACAAGAAACAACUCUAUUUGAAUUUUAACCUUAUCCUUCAUAUGAGUCUUCUAGAUACAUAAUUAAUCCCUAGGUAUACUUAAUGUAUAAAUAUCUCAUCCCAUCCCAAUUGUCGUGAGGAAACCAUUGAACCCUCGAGAAGCUAUUUUCUCCGAUUGCGUUGUUCGCUAAAACCCCUUACCAUAGUUGUCUUUGGUAUAAAGAUGGAGGCUACUAGGUGAACGUUUCGGAGGUUAUUUAUCUUGAGCGCCACUCAAGGUUGGUAAAAGGGUAUUCGGUUACGUUAGAAUAAUCACGUAGCUAAGACAAUUUAGUUUAAUUCCGAACUUAUUUAUUUUGCUUUUUAAUUAAUGUUUUUUUUUUUUUUUUGUAAAUGUUUUACAGUUUGGAUGUAACGACUAUUUUAUUCUUGCCGCCACUUGGAUCACUUAGUUUAUAAAAUGGUAUUUUGUUUCGCUUUGCAUUUAUUUUCUAUGGAAAAUAAAUGUAGCAGUAACACUCCCAAGGUUCGAUGGUUGGUUUUGAAAGGUAAAAAGGGUUACUCUUAUCGUUUUACAAAGACCCGAAUUUUGGGGGUGUUACAGGAGGUGUCAAAACGGAAUUAAUGAAUAAUUA